rnacentral:rRNA from 1 species
UAGUCUUUUAAUUGAAGGCUUGUAUGAAUGGUUGGACGAGAUAUUAACUGUUUCAUUUUAAUUUUUUUUUGAAUUUAAUUUUUUAGUUAAAAAGCUAAAAUUUAUUUAAAAGACGAGAAGACCCUAUAAAUCUUUAUAUUGGAAUUAUUAUUAUUAUUUAGAUUUAUUUUAUAAUAAUAAUUAAUAAUAUUUUAUUGGGGUGAUAUUAAAAUUUAUAAAACUUUUAACUUUUAAUUACAUUAAUUUAUGAAUAAAUGAUCUGUUUUUAACGAUUAAAAAUAUAAGUUACUUUAGGGAUAACAGCGUAAUUUUUUUGGAGAGUUCUUAUCGAUAAAAAAGAUUGC